CGUGAGUAACCUGCCUCUAAGAGGGGAAGUAACAUUCUGAAAAGAAUGCUAAUACCGCAUAACAUAUAUUUAUCGCAUGGUAGAUAUAUCAAAGAUUUAUCGCUUAGAGAUGGACUCGCGUCCGAUUAGUUAGUUGGUGAGGUAACGGCUCACCAAGACUGCGAUCGGUAGCCGGACUGAGAGGUUGAACGGCCACAUUGGGACUGAGACACGGCCCAG
rnacentral:rRNA from 1 species